CAGCACUGCAGCCUGCUGGAUGAACAGCCUCCAUCCGCGGAAAGCCUGAGGUGUCGGGGCUUAUUCCCCCUCUGCCAGUCUCUGGAGGAGGAGGAAGGCGAUUAGGCUCCUCAUAGAAGGUCAGUGUCUGGAUUCUGUGCCUGCUGAUAACCAUCGGAAACUCUAUCUCGGCCCCAUCCGCUGCGACUUUAUCUGAGGCUGUUCCCAAACCUUGCUAGCCAUCUCACGGAGCGGCAUUAAGGGGAGACCCUGAGAAGAAAGUAUUUCACAGAUGAGAACCGAGGCUCACAGAGCUGAGUGAUGCCCAGGUCACAGGAAGUGGCUGUGUGCACACAGGACUAGAACCUGGGUCUGCAUGAUCUCAGCUUCCUUACAUCCAUCCACCUUCCCUCCCUCCAUCCACCUACCAU